UUCUGGCCUGAAAAUGAGUGUGCGUAAGGGGCUAGGCGACGACGCUGGUGAGGCGUUCUCAAAGGCAUGAAAGGCGUGAAAGGCUUCCUCCAAGGCGCGAAAGGCGUACGCGCAGAAAAAAAUGUGAAGUGACAUCGUUUUGAAACAGAAUGGGUUUAAAGCUGUCUAGGUCGCGACUGCUAGCCCGAUUUCGAUUUCAGCCCCGAUUUCAGCCCUCUGCCCCUCUCUGUUCGCAAAUUCGAUCCCUAAGUCCCUAACCCAGAGUUCGAGUUAGGAGUUCGAUUUCAGCCCGAUUUCAGCCCUCUGCCCCUCUCUACGCAGCAGUCAAUUUGAGCUUGAUUGGAGGUCGAUUCGGAACAGGCCAUUUGAACUUCUGAAGGUAUGAUUCCUGAUUUCCCGUCUAUAUUUACUUGGGUUUGAGUUGUUCUUGUCUAGACAAUCAUAUAUGUCCAGCAACCCCAUUAAUUUGGUUGCAAUAGUUUAUUUUGUGAUCCCAUUGGCUCUGUUCUGGGUCCUCUUUUGA
rnacentral:lncRNA from 1 species